rnacentral:rRNA from 1 species
GUGGGGAAUAUUGGACAAUGGGCGCAAGCCUGAUCCAGCAACGCCGCGUGAGGGAUGACGGCCUUCGGGUUGUAAACCGCUUUCAGCAGGGACGAAAAUGACGGUACCUGCAGAAGAAGCCCCGGCUAACUACGUGCCAGCAGCCGCGGUAAUACGUAGGGGGCAAGCGUUGUCCGGAUUCAUUGGGCGUAAAGAGCUCGUAGGCGGUUCAGUAAGUCGGGUGUGAAAGCUCCGAGCUCAACUCGGAGAGGCCACCCGAUACUGCUGUGACUUGAGUACAGUAGGGGAGCGUGGAAUUCCUGGUGUAGCGGUGAAAUGCGCAGAUAUCAGGAGGAACACCAGCGGCGAAGGCGGCGCUCUGGGCUGUAACUGACGCUGAGGAGCGAAAGUGUGGGUAGCAAACAGGAUUAGAAACCCCGGUAGUCC